rnacentral:misc_RNA from 1 species
GAUGAAGAACGCAGCGAAAUGCGAUACGUAAUGUGAAUUGCAGAAUUCAGUGAAUCAUCGAAUCUUUGAACGCAUAUUGCGCUCUCUGGUAUUCCGGAGAGCAUGCUUGUUUGAGUAUCAGUAAACACCUCAACUUCCAUAUCUUUUUUGAAAUGGGAGUUGGACUUGAGUGAUCCCAACGCUUUUCCUCACCGAAAAGUGGCGGGUUACUUGAAAUGCAGGUGCAGCUGGACUUUUCUCUGAGCUAUAAGCAUAUCUAUUUAGUCUUCCUAAAAACAGAUUAUUACCUUUGCUGCAGCUAACAUAAAGGAGAUUAGUUCUUGUGCUGACUGAUGCAGGAUUCACAAAGACAGGCUUCGGCCGACUUUGUAAACUCGAUCUCAAAUCAAGUAAGACUACCCGCUGAACUUAAGCAUAUCAAUAAGCGGAGGA